AUUGAACGCUGGCGGCAUGCCUUACACAUGCAAGUCGAACGGUAACAGGUCUUCGGAUGCUGACGAGUGGCGAACGGGUGAGUAAUACAUCGGAACGUGCCCGAUCGGGGGGGAUAACGAAGCGAAAGCUUUGCUAAUACCGCAUAAGAUCUACGGAUGAAAGCAGGGGACCGCAAGGCCUUGCGCGAACGGAGCGGCCGAUGGCAGAUUAGGUAGUUGGUGGGAUAAACGAUUACCAAGCCGACGAUCUGUAGCUGGUCUGAGAGGACGACCAGCCACACUGGGACUGAGACACGGCCCAGACUCCUACGGGAGGCAGCAGUGGGGAAUUUUGGACAAUGGGCGAAAGCCUGAUCCAGCCAUGCCGCGUGCAGGAUGAAGGCCUUCGGGUUGUAAACUGCUUUUGUACGGAACGAAAAGACUCUUUCUAAUAAAGAGGGUCCAUGACGGUACCGUAAGAAUAAGCACCGGCUAACUACGUGCCAGCCGCCGCCGUAAAAC
rnacentral:rRNA from 1 species